UCCCACAUGACAUUUGAAUAGAAGACGCAGGCGCGAGUAGAGUGAGUGUCCAAACUUGACAUACAUAUCCUACAAUUUUGCAUUCAUGAACUUUAACCAUUGUCUAAACUCUACGCAUGUCAACUCACCACACCUCAGAAGAUGCAUUAUGAAGGCUCCAUGUACCUGCAAAAUAAGUUUCAAAUGGCAUCCAAAACAGAAAAAUAAAAAGAAACCUGUUAAAACUGAAGCCAUUUGUCUACUUUAUUGUCGAGCGAUCCAAUAGGCAGGUAUCAGCCCACUUCUGACUUGGGUACUGCUACCGACAAAAUAUAUGGUAGCACACGCACGUUACAAGACCUCUCAUUACUUGAACAUUGUCCAGCACCUUUUGUAGAAAUUUUUAAUAUGCUAGACGAGAGUGAACGCUGGGCAGGUGGUUCCUUCAAAAAUCUAAAUCUAUUUUCAAUACGAUAACAAGUUCUUUACUUCUUAAAACUCUGUGUUUUUAAAGGUGCUAGAAGCCAAGGUUCCAAAAAGUCUGACGCGUUAGGCGCAUACUCGAGCGAAAUAAGACGCUCUAAAAUGUUAAAGUAUAAAAAAUAUACAAUAUAUUUUUAAAUUAUAUAUAAAAAUAUAAUAUAAAAAUAUUAAAAAAUAUAUAUAUAUAUAUAUAAUAUAAUAUAUGAUGAUAAUAGUUUUAAUUAUCAGUUCUAAGGAUUAACAAUCCACUGUUAACAGUAGUUAUAAUAUUGUGCAAUAGGAAGGAGAAUAGGAGUCACCGACGGUGGAAGAUGGGCAAGACAAGGCGACGGUAACAAAGGUACCUUUGGCCCGUAACAACAAUGGAGGAGGAAGUUGCAGACGACGACAACAGUGACAAAGAAAGCUGCGGACCUGUCCCUUGACAUCGAAGGGAGAUACACACAAAAUAUUAGGCGGUAGAGGGAGCCGCGUACAAAAAUAACAAUGAUGAAGGAGGAAGAUUUGAACCUUUACAUCGACGACGAAGGACUUGUCGACGGCAAAAGAGGAAGAUUGAACCUUUUCGUCAGUUGCAAAGGAAGCAACGAUGAAACCUAGGGUUUGCCGAGCAAGUUGAGGGGGAAGGAGGGUGGAUUUCGAUGUUUACUGUUGGACUUAGUUGGUUCGAUCGAACCAACUAAGUCACUAUUGAAUUGAACUAGAGUCUAAAAGUGGGUUUGACUUGUUGGAUUCAAUCGGGCAAUCGCCCGAGGCGCGUGACACCUAGGCUCAGGCGAGCACCCAAGCCACGCUUCAAUGAAGCGCGUCACCUAGACCCUAUGCGAGGCAUUUGGGCCUCGCUUUGCCUAGCAUGAGCACCUAGGCGAAUGCUCAAGCGCCUUUUAAAAACAUUGCUUAAACUUAGUGAAAACUACUGAAAAAUUUCACUUAAAAGUCACAUGACCAACUUACUUCUCAAGAGAUGUACUGUCAGCAAAUGGAGAAAAUUCUAUUUGAGUGACUAUAAAGAAGAGAAAACUGAACUAUAGCACCAUACUCAAAAAUUGUCAAAGAACAUGUCGUUAAUUUUCAAGUGCUUGUAUAGAGAAUAAAUUUUGGAAAAAUACCAUAUUCCAAUGACAAUUUAAAGGCACUGUACAUUCUCUUAAAUUGUUGGUUUCAUAUGCCAUGUGGUAGAACAACAUGCAAAUGAGCAUUGCAGUUUACAGGUUAAUCUCUCAGGGCCACUUAAGCUCCCUAAUUCACCUAGCUCAUUUGUUUGUAGGGUUAUCCAAAAAGUCCUUGAUUUGAUAUUUGUUUUCUACUUUUCUAUAAUCUGAGUAUCAUUUGAACUUGAGUUCUUUAGCAAUUAGGAAAAACCUAUGCUGCACAAAUAUCUUUUGUUAGAAACUUAGAAUUAUACUGUGUACUUAAUAUUAUUUAUCUAGUGUAAAUAACAUGUACAUGUUUGUCAGAAGUGUGUCAUCUAUAACCACUGAAAGGUUUAGCAGCAGAACAACUACCUCAUAAUCUCAAGCCCCAAACAGCACCAGGAAGGUCAUAAACUAAUCAUAAGAACCAUUGAUUAGAAUCAGCUUAAACAUCUUUAUUCCACUGCUGCCUAACUUCAAUUAGAAAAAUUAAAGAUGGAGUACUAGCAGCAGUUUAUCUCUUAAUAUGGCUAUAACAUUUGAUGAAAUACAUAAUUUCUAACACUUAAGUUUUUGUUACUUCUUAAGGUUACUGAUAGUAAACAAUACACAUCAUACUCAAAAGUGUUGGACCAAUUUAACGGCUAGAAGUGAACAGAUGUACAAGUAUUCACCAAUAAUGUGACAACAUUUGGUGAAUAGAAAAAUACGACAUUCUACAGCUAAUGCAUAAAGUUCAAAUUUCUGAAAAUAAAAAUCAAUUAUAGUAGAAUAAAAUGGAGAAACUAACUAACAAAGAUGAUAGGGUGAGUUGCCAUGUAAAAUUAUUAACAGAAGAUCUUACCAGUUCAUUACCAAUGUUGUUGCCCACAAUGAUGGAUACUCAAGCAUCUUGAAGCUCCAUAUCAUCAAGAAUGACAUAUUUUGCAGCUCUAUCUAUUGAUCUAGAAUAUGUUCCCUCAUUUUCAGUUUGCUGACCUU
rnacentral:lncRNA from 1 species